rnacentral:guide_RNA from 1 species
AUAUAAUAACAUAAAACAGAUAAAGUGGGACGUAAAUGAUAGCUAUAUAAGU